rnacentral:rRNA from 1 species
GACGAACGCUGGCGGCGUGCUUAACACAUGCAAGUCGAACGGGUCUGCCCUGUUUUUUGCGGGGUGGGUCAGUGGCGAACGGGUGAGUAACACGUGAGUAACCUGCCCCUCACUUCUGGAUAACCGCUUGAAAGGGUGGCUAAUACGGGGUGUUCUGGCUGUGCCGCAUGGUGUGGCUGGGAAAGAUUCACUUUUGUGGUGUUUUGGUGGGGGAUGGGCUCGCGGCCUAUCAGCUUGUUGGUGGGGUGAUGGCCUGCCAAGGCUUUGACGGGUAGCCGGCCUGGGAGGGUGGGCGGUCACACUGGGACUGAGAUACGGCCCAGACUCCUGCGGGAGGCAGCAGUGGGGGGUAUUGCACAAUGGGCGGAAGCCUGAUGCAGCGACGUCGCGUGAGGGAUGGAGGCCUUCGGGUUGUGAACCUCUUUCGCCGGUGAAGAAGGUCCUGCUCUUUGUGGUGGGGUUGACGGUAGCCGGGUUAUGAAGCGCCGGCUAACUACGUG